GACGAACGCUGUCGGCGGGCUUAACACAUGCAAGUCGAACGGAAAGGCCCUGCUUUUGUGGGGUGCUCGAGUGGCGAACGGGUGAGUAACACGUGAGUAACCUGCCCUUGACUUUGGGAUAACUUCAGGAAACUGGGGCUAAUACCGGAUAGGAGCUCCUGCUGCAUGGUGGGGGUUGGAAAGUUUCGGCGGUUGGGGAUGGACUCGCGGCUUAUCAGCUUGUUGGUGGGGUAGUGGCUUACCAAGGCUUUGACGGGUAGCCGGCCUGAGAGGGUGACCGGCCACAUUGGGACUGAGAUACGGCCCAGACUCCUACGGGAGGCAGCAGUGGGGAAUAUUGCACAAUGGGCGGAAGCCUGAUGCAGCAACGCCGCGUGCGGGAUGACGGCCUUCGGGUUGUAAACCGCUUUCGCCUGUGACGAAGCGUGAGUGACGGUAAUGGGUAAAGAAGCACCGGCUAACUACGUGCCAGCAGCCGCGGUGAUACGUAGGGUGCGAGCGUUGUCCGGAUUUAUUGGGCGUAAAGGGCUCGUAGGUGGUUGAUCGCGUCGGAAGUGUAAUCUUGGGGCUUAACCCUGAGCGUGCUUUCGAUACGGGUUGACUUGAGGAAGGUAGGGGAGAAUGGAAUUCCUGGUGGAGCGGUGGAAUGCGCAGAUAUCAGGAGGAACACCAGUGGCGAAGGCGGUUCUCUGGGCCUUUCCUGACGCUGAGGAGCGAAAGCGUGGGGAGCGAACAGGCUUAGAUACCCUGGUAGUCCACGCUGUAAACGGUGGGUACUAGGUGUGGGGUCCAUUCCACGGGUUCCGUGCCGUAGCUAACGCUUUAAGUACCCCGCCUGGGGAGUACGGCCGCAAGGCUAAAACUCAAAGGAAUUGACGGGGCCCCGCACAAGCGGCGGAGCAUGCGGAUUAAUUCGAUGCAACGCGUAGAACCUUACCUGGGUUUGACAUGGAUCGGGAGUGCUCAGAGAUGGGUGUGCCUCUUUUGGGGUCGGUUCACAGGUGGUGCAUGGCUGUCGUCAGCUCGUGUCGUGAGAUGUUGGGUUAAGUCCCGCAACGAGCGCAACCCUUGUUCACUGUUGCCAGCACGUUAUGGUGGGGACUCAGUGGAGACCGCCGGGGUCAACUCGGAGGAAGGUGGGGAUGACGUCAAGUCAUCAUGCCCCUUAUGUCCAGGGCUUCACGCAUGCUACAAUGGCUGGUACAGAGAGUGGCGAGCCUGUGAGGGUGAGCGAAUCUCGGAAAGCCGGUCUCAGUUCGGAUUGGGGUCUGCAACUCGACCUCAUGAAGUCGGAGUCGCUAGUAAUCGCAGAUCAGCAACGCUGCGGUGAAUACGUUCCCGGG
rnacentral:rRNA from 1 species